UGUGUAUGUAUAUAUGUGUAUAUAUGUAUGUGUGUAUAUAUAUGUAUAUAUGUGUAUACAUAUACAUAUAUACGUGUAUAUAUACACACACACAUAUAUACACACAUGUAUAUAUAU
rnacentral:miRNA from 10 species